UCUGUGCCCUUCAGUUUCAAGGUCCAGGAGCAUUUUAGAGGCAUCUAUUUCUCUGUUUUGAUUUUCGUUUUCAUUUUGUUUUGGUUUUCAGACAGGGUCUCAUGUAGUUCAGUCUGACCUCAAGUUCACUCUCCAGCCAAGGAUGACUUUGGAUUUGUGAUCUUCUUGCCCCUCUUCCCAAGCGCUGGGAUUACGGGCAUGUGUCAUCACGUCAGUUUUAUGUCGUGUUUGGGGAUGAAACCCAGAACCUCAGGAACUCAGUCAAAACAAUACUAAAGCUGGCCCAGAGUGUGCCCUGUGGACCAUGGAAAAAAUUGAACCCCCCUCUGACUACACACAAGGAGAGCCUGGAGCUCAAAGAUAAAGACCCGCAGCCAACCCGCCCCAAACUGGCUGCAGUUGGACCCAGUUUGAGAAGAGAAUGGCCCUCUUCUCUCUGAGCUGCCACCUGCUCUUUUCAUCAGUGAUUUCGUUCUGUGGUCAGAGUCACAUGACACUGAGCUAAAUCUCCUCCUCCCAUCGUGAGAGGCAGGGCUCCUCCUGACUUGAGGCUGGACAAGACAUGCUUUGUGAUGGACAAGCCCAAUUGUCAAUUUGUUGGAUCUGGAAUCAGCUAUUCUGUUGUUGCUGUUGCUGGUGAUGCCACCUCCAUCCGUCAGUACCAUCAGAACCCAAAACCUCAUAGGCCUUCACCUGCAUUGAAGACAAGACCUCCAGUGCCAGAUCGGGACUGCUGGGAUAUCCAGCUUCAUGGACCAGACAGCUUCUAGGCUCUCAUCCUCUCCAGCAUGCAGAAAGCCAUUGUUGGACUUCAGACUCAAAGUAAAACUAAGCCAUCUGCUUUCCUGGAUCUCCUGCUGAAGAACUUAGUCUGUACAUCAUGAGACUUGCUGUCUCCAUGAGUGAGUGAGCCAGUUCCAUUUGCCAUAUUAAUCUUUCCCCCUGUAUAGAUUGACAGAUUAAAUAGGUGGGUGAAUAAAUAGGUAGAUAAUCGAUAGAUAGAUAGAUAGAUAGAUAGAUAGAUAGAUAGAUAGAUAGAUAAUAGACUCUGAAGAUUAUUGGUGUAUAUAUACAGAUGACAGAUGAUAGAUAGAUAGAUAGAUAGAUAGAUAGAUAGAUAGAUAGAUAGAUAGAUAGAUACCAGUUUCCUGGAGCUCCCUGACUGAUAUACACCCCUGAAGUUGGUAGAAUAUUUAACAGUUGCAGAGUUCAUCCACCCACAUUAAUUCUACUGCAGACUGUUCCUCCCUCCCCUCACCCCUGUGAUUCCUGACUCCUACAACACAAGGCAGCAGCCAGACCUAAGCUGGAGUACUGGUUUCACAAACAGCUCUAUGGCCUUGGCAAGUUAGCUGUCCUUGCUGGGCCUCAGUGUCCCCACUGUGAGAUGAAAAGAGCCCCCUAGGGAAGAUCAUUGAUAACUCAUUAGACAACACACCAAGUGUCAUCCACAGUACCUGGCACUACACUCAGCAAAACCCAGCUUCUCACAAUUGUGCUUAGGCACGGGUGUGGGGAGGCUGCAAAGAAACCAUAUUCUGAAGAACUUCCCUUGUCAGAAAAGACUCUGGGAGGAGCCUGAAGGCUUGCAAAGGGACAGCACAAGCUGGCUCUGACCACUCAGGGCCCCCAGCUGAGUUAUGCUGUGUUGGCCCUCACCGGUAUAACAAAAGCAUAAGAUCUCAGAAUAAACAGAGCGUUGCUCUCCUCAUCCUCGCCCGGGACUUGCAUUGCGGGGAUUUUCUUUUGAGGAAACUAAUAGAGACAAAAGAAUAGUGGAAAUCAGUAGUCUUGGGGAAGAGCUCGUCCAUCCUUUUGCAGCCCCCUAUACCCACCCUGAGCUCAGCUCCUCCCAGGUGAUGCUGAGUAGGUAAGGAGUUAGGCACGAUGCAACCAAGGAAAACUGUGUGUGUCUUGGUAGCUGUGUGCCUAAUGGUCAAGAUUGCCUUUGUGGUUAAAUACCCAUGGAGUUGAAGCUAGGUUGUUCUCACUAUAGCGUAAGGUGCCAGGGGACUUUCUCACCCUGUAUCCGCAAAAGACCCUGACUUCAUUAUCCAAUAGACUGUGGUUUUGACAUCCCUCAUGGGCUUUUCCAAAGCAUCAUGAGAAGAAAUACUCUUUUUCAAAGGAGAUCUGGCCCACCAUGACUUGGGAGGAAAAAGGGGUCACACUGCCCUGUGAAUAAGGUACCCACUUCCUGAACAGUCAUAACUACUUCUUGAAAUUUCAUAAUACAAAGUCCAACUUGGCUGCUUUCCUCCUCUCCAGGACAGCACCUUCCAGCCUGUCUCUGAAGUACAUUCUGCUAAAUAAAUGUCUGUUUAAACUGUG